CCCCACUCCAGACUAAAGCCAUCAAGACUCUGGGAAAGACAAAUCCCAUCACCACCAAGGGAGGGUGGCUGGGACCUGAGGGUGGAGUUGGGCAGCCAGGUUGGAUAUAAAAAACCAAACACGUGGGCCUUGGGCUCUCUCUCUGGCUUGCGAUCGCUCGCCUCCUGGCUUCACCGCUCCUGGCUGGCGGCCAGCUCUCAGAGCGCCAUUUUGGGAUUCCUAAUCGGCGGAUCGGAAGUGACGCCAUCUGUUAUCGACCUUUCUCCUUCGUGUUUAUUUCACUUAGCACCAUCCCUUCCAGCUCCAUCCACAUUGCAGCAAAGGUGCAUAUCAUCAUAAACCCCAUUAUACCCGUCUGUACUCCUGAGAGGCCAAAUGUUGAAUACCCAGGGACCACACUCAGGAUGCUUAUAUACAUCAAUCAGGAGACAACACAGAACCACCGGGCAGACAGAACUGUGUGCACAAGGAAGUCAUCAAUUUUGGGUCAGUCAGAAACGUGGGAACUUGAGAGAAUUCACCAGAGACAGAGCGGGGAGCAGAACAGGCAGAAGGACUGAAGUACACUGCUGAGGGGAGCAGUGGGCGGCAGGAGAGGUCUGCGCGCCAUGGGGGACCCUCCUCCAGCAGCCAGGGAGCAGCUGGGAUCGAACCAUCGUGCAAAGGCCGCGGGCAGCUUCGCAACCCAGCGCUCAACCACUGCGCCACCAGGGAGGCCCCACCAGAUUUAAUUUGAAUUAAAGUGUGCUAUAAUCUCUGUAUAAUGCUAUAAAAUAAAAGUGAUAAUACCAAUACCAGUACUGA